UACAGGGGGGGCAAGCGUUAUUCGGAAUUAUUGGGCGUAAAGGGCGUGUAGGCGGCCUCGUAUGUCUUCUGUGAAAGCCCUCGGCUCAACCGAGGAACUGCAGGAGAAACGGCGAGGCUCGAGUCCGGGAGAGGAAAGCGGAAUUCCCAGUGUAGCGGUGAAAUGCGUAGAUAUUGGGAGGAACACCAGUGGCGAAGGCGGCUUUCUGGACCGGUACUGACGCUGAGACGCGAAAGCCAGGGGAGCAAACGGG
rnacentral:rRNA from 1 species